CCUACGGGUGGCUGCAGUAGGGAAUUUUGCGCAAUGGGCGAAAGCCUGACGCAGCAACGCCGCGUGAUCGAGACGCCCUUCGGGGUGUAAAGAUCUGUCAGUGGGGGCGGAACUUGACGGUACUCACAGAGGACUCACCGGCUAACUCCGUGCCAGCAGCCGCGGUAAUACGGGGGGUGCAAGCGUUGUCCGGAAUCAUUGUGCGUAAAGGGUUCGUAGGCGGCACGUAAAGUCUGGUGUUAAAGGCAGAGGCUCAACUUCUGUACGGCACUGGAUACUUGCGAGCUAGAAUGCGGUAGAGGUAAAGGGAAUUCCUGGUGUAGUGGUGAAAUGCUUAGAUAUCAGGAGGAACAUCGGUGGCGAAGGCGCUUUACUGGGCCGUAAUUGACGCUGAGGAACGAAAGCCAGGGUAGCAAAUGGGAUUAGAUACCCGUGUAGUC
rnacentral:rRNA from 1 species